rnacentral:rRNA from 1 species
GACGAACGCUGGCGGCGUGCUUAACACAUGCAAGUCGAACGGAAAGGCCCUGCUUGCCGGGUACUCGAGUGGCGAACGGGCGAGUAACACGUGGGUGAUCUGCCCUGCACUUCGGGAUAAGCCUGGGAAACUGGGUCUAAUACCGGAUAGGAGCCAUUUUUAGUGUGAUGGUUGGAAAGUUUUUUCGGUGUAGGAUGAGCUCGCGGCCUAUCAGCUUGUUGGUGGGGUAAUGGCCUACCAAGGCGGCGACGGGUAGCCGGCCUGAGAGGGUGGACGGCCACAUUGGGACUGAGAUACGGCCCAGACUCCUACGGGAGGCAGCAGUGGGGAAUAUUGCACAAUGGGCGCAAGCCUGAUGCAGCGACGCCGCGUGGGGGAGGACGGCCUUCGGGUUGUAAACUCCUUUCGCUAGGGACGAAGCUUUUUGUGACGGUACCUAGAGAAGAAGCACCGGCUAACUACGUG